UACGGGGGGGGCAAGCGUUGUUCGGAAUUACUGGGCGUAAAGGGCUCGUAGGUGGCCAACUAAGUCAUGCGUGAAAUCCCCCGGCUUAACCGGGGAACUGGCGUCGAUACGACCGCCCUGGAGGGGCGUAGGGGGACCUGGAACUUCCGGUGGAGCGGUGAAAUGCGUUGAGAUCGGAAGGAACGCCCGUGGCGAAAGCGAGGUCCUGGACGCCUACUGACGCUGAGACGCGAAAGCCAGGGGAGCGAACGGG
rnacentral:rRNA from 1 species